rnacentral:rRNA from 1 species
AGAACGAACGCUGGCGGCGCGCUUAACACAUGCAAGUCGAACGGGGUGUUGACCUUCGGGUUGGCACCUAGUGGCGAACGGGUGAGUAACGCGUGGGUACCUGCCCUGGGCACUGGGACAACCGCGGGAAACUGCGGCUAAUACCGGAUGACACCUCGGAUCGAGAGUGAGGGGGUCAAAGGCUCGUCGUGAGACGGGUCCGGCCUGGGAUGGGCCCGCGUCCGAUUAGCUGGUUGGUGGGUAACGCCCACCAAGGCAUCGAUCGGUAGCCUGGUCUGAGAGGAUGAUCAGCCACA